GACGAACGCUGGCGGCGUGCUUAACACAUGCAAGUCGAACGGAAAGGCCCUGCUUUUGUGGGGUGCUCGAGUGGCGAACGGGUGAGUAACACGUGAGUAACCUGCCCUUGACUUUGGGAUAACUUCAGGAAACUGGGGCUAAUACCGGAUAGGAGCUCCUGCUGCAUGGUGGGGGUUGGAAAGUUUCGGCGGUUGGGGAUGGACUCGCGGCUUAUCAGCUUGUUGGUGGGGUAGUGGCUUACCAAGGCUUUGACGGGUAGCCGGCCUGGGAGGGUGACCGGGCACAUUGGGACUGAGAGACGGCCCAGAAGCCUACGGGAGGCAGCAGUGGGGAAUAUUGCACAAUGGGGGGAAGCGUGAGGCAGCAACGCCGCGUGCGGGAUGACGGCCUUCGGGUUGUAAACCGCUGUCGCCUGUGACGAAGCGUGAGUGACGGUAAUGGGUAAAGAAGCACCGGCUAACUACGUG
rnacentral:rRNA from 1 species